UACGGGGCGCAGCAGGCGCGAAACCUCCGCAAUGGGCGAAAGCCCGACGGGGUCAGUCCGAGUGGCUCCCGCUAAGGGAGUCUUUUGCCAGCUGUAAAAAGGCUGGCGAAUAAGGGGUGGGCAAGUCUGGUGUCAGCCGCCGCGGUAAUACCAGCACCCCGAGUGGUCGGGACGAUUAUUGGGCCUAAAGCAUCCGUAGCCGGUGUAGCAAGUCCUCCGUUAAAUCCACUUGCUCAACAAGUGGGCUGCGGAGGAUACUGCUACACUAGGGGGCGGGAGAGGCGAGGGGUAUUCCACGGGUAGGGGUAAAAUCCUCUGAUCCGUGGAGGACCACCAGUGGCGAAGGCGCCUCGCCAGAACGCGCCCGACGGUGAGGGAUGAAAGCUGGGGGAGCAAACCGGAUUAGAUACCCGGGUAGUCCCAGCCGUAAACGAUGUAGGCUCGGUGAUGGGCUGGCUCCGAGCCAGCCCAGUGCCGCAGGGAAGCCGUUAAGCCUACCGCCUGGGGAGUACGGCCGCAAGGCUGAAACUUAAAGGAAUUGGCGGGGGAGCACCACAAGGGGUGAAGCCUGCGGUUCAAUUGGAUUCAACGCCCUGAAA
rnacentral:rRNA from 1 species